CAGCCGCCGCGGGAAUACGUAGGGGGCGAGCGUUGUCCGAAGUUACUGGGCGUAAAGCGCGCGUAGGCGGCUUCUUAAGUCUGAGGUGAAAGGUUCAACGCUUAACGUGAACAGUGCCUUGGAUACUGGGGAGCUUGAGUAUGGGAGAGGGCAGUGGAAUGGCUGGUGUAGCGGUGAAAUGCGUAGAUAUCAGUCGGAACACCCAUGGCGAAGGCAGCUGCCUGGCCUAAUACUGACGCUGAGGUGCGAAAGCGUGGGGAGCGAACGGGAUUAGAUACCCGGGUAGUCCCUGUCUCUUAUA
rnacentral:rRNA from 1 species